rnacentral:rRNA from 1 species
AGAUAGCCUGCAUGUCUAAGUAUAGCAAUUAUACCGUGAAACUGCGAAUGGCUCAUUAAAUCAGUUAUCGUUUAUUUGAUAGUACCUUACUACUUGGAUAACCGUGGUAAUUCUAGAGCUAAUACAUGCUGAAAACCCCAACUUCGGGAGGGGUGUAUUUAUUAGAUAAAAAACCAACGCCCUUCGGGGCUUCUUGGUGAUUCAUGAUAACUUCACGGAUCGCAUGGCCUUGCGCCGGCGACGGUUCAUUCAAAUUUCUGCCCUAUCAACUUUCGAUGGUAAGGUAUUGGCUUACCAUGGUUUCAACGGGUAACGGGGAAUUAGGGUUCGAUUCCGGAGAGGGAGCCUGAGAAACGGCUACCACAUCCAAGGAAGGCAGCAGGCGCGCAAAUUACCCAAUCCCGACACGGGGAGGUAGUGACAAUAAAUACUGAUACAGGGCUCUUUUGGGUCUUGUAAUUGGAAUGAGUACAAUUUAAACCUCUUAACGAGGAACAAUUGGAGGGCAAGUCUGGUGCCAGCAGCCGCGGUAAUUCCAGCUCCAAUAGCGUAUAUUAAAGUUGUUGCAGUUAAAAAGCUCGUAGUUGAAACUUGGGCCUGGCUGGCAGGUCCGCCUCACCGCGUGUACUUGUCCGGCCGGGCCUUUCCUUCUGGAGAACCUCAUGCCCUUCACUGGGUGUGUUGGGGAACCAGGACUUUUACUUUGAAAAAAUUAGAGUGUUCAAAGCAGGCCUUUGCUCGAAUACGUUAGCAUGGAAUAAUAGAAUAGGACGUGCGGUCCUAUUUUGUUGGUUUCUAGGACCGCCGUAAUGAUUAAUAGGGACAGUCGGGGGCAUCAGUAUUCAAUUGUCAGAGGUGAAAUUCUUGGAUUUAUUGAAGACUAACUACUGCGAAAGCAUUUGCCAAGGAUGUUUUCAUUAAUCAGUGAACGAAAGUUAGGGGAUCGAAGACGAUCAGAUACCGUCGUAGUCUUAACCGUAAACUAUGCCGACUAGGGAUCGGGCGAUGUUCUUUUUCUGACUCGCUCGGCACCUUACGAGAAAUCAAAGUUUUUGGGUCUGGGGGGAGUAUGGUCGCAAGGCUGAAUAG